AUGGAACCACCGCCGCCACGCCGCCGCGACUCGCCGCCGGCGAUCCCGGACGAGCUCAUCGAAGAGAUCCUCCUCCGCCUCCCGCCCGACGAACCCGCUUGCCUCCUCCGCGCAUCCGUCGUCUGCAAGGACUGGGCCGGCAUCGUCUGCCGCCCCGGAUUCCGGCGCCGCCUCCACGAGCUCCACCGGGCACCCCCCGUGCUCGGCGUCCUCCACAACUGGGAAUUCGAUCCCAUCCACCGAUUCAUCUCCACCACCGCAUCGUCCUUCUCCCUCGCCGCCCCGGACUGCCUCGACUGGCGGGCCCUCGACUGCCGCCACGGACGCGCCCUCUUCUUCCCCCAGGAAUUUGGUGGUCUGGAACUACUCUUGUGGGAGCCAAUCACGGGUGCCGAGCAGCGCAUACCGCUUCCCGCCGAGUUCCUGAGCGACUGCCCGACCGCAGCCGUGUUCUGCGCGGCGGACGGGUGCGACCACCGCGACUGCCUCGGCGGUCCUUUCCGCGUGGUCUUCCUCUUCGCCGUCGUGUUAGACGAGGAGACGCACGUCACGUCGGCGUGCAUUUACUCGUCGGAGAUUGGUGCUUGGGGCGAGCUGACCUCGAUUCACUGCAACAUCGAGUUCUCCAUGGAAUUCACAGGAAGCUACAGCGUGCUCGUUGACAGAUCUGUGCUCUACUUCAUGUCCGACGGCAACGCGGAUAGUGCGUCGGUCGUCGAGUAUGAAUUGGCAAGCCGCGAGCUGACUGUUUUCGGCCUACCAGACAAGUACUACGGCCAUGCAUAUAGCCUCAUGCUGUUGGAGGACGGUGGAAUCGGAUUAAUCCAAUACUUGGAUACGCGUCUCAAAUUGUGGAGAAGAGAGGCGAGUGCUGAAGCAGGGUGGGUGCUGAACCGGGUCAUGUGCUUGAAAAGUUUCAUCCCAAUGCAUGCUCUCUUGCAUUCAGAAUAUAGACUGCAAGUGAUGGGCUUUGCUGAGGAAGCAAAUAUCAUUUUUGUUGACACAGUUGUUGGCCUCUUCACAAUAGAGCUACAAUCGGGGCAUGUGAGGAAGGUGUGCCGUGAUACUGAUCGAGGCUUCCGUAGUUUGAUCCCAGUUGUCAGCUUCUACACUCCUGUACCCCAAGGCAAGCACCAGAAUCUGCCGGCGUCGAUGCCUAGUGAGGAGGCAGGUGGUGAGGAUGGGGGAGAGGAAGAAAAAACAGUGGAUCAGGCACAUCAAUUGUUGAACAAGGGGUCCAGUGCUACCAAGGAAGUUGACUUUAUCAACACCUUCGAAUACAUCAUCCAUGACCUCGAGAUCAGGGUUCCGUGUUGUGGAGAAGGUGUUCUGGAGGGUGAUGGCACACUCAACAAACAUGGAUGUGCCUUGCUACCCCAUGAUUCUUCAGGUGAUGUUCCCAAGAGUGCAGCGAAUUUAUGCCUUUGUUUUCACCUAGGGUUGUUCCCAGGAGUUUGUGAAUGUACAACUAGGAGAGAUGAUGCUGGGAACUCAACGACCUCUGAAAGCAAUGCUGAUGAUUCUCCACCUUUGGAGAAAAAUUGCCGGCUGCAAGUUAACAUGGCCUCCUUCGCUUGUUCUUCAGAACAACAGCAGGAGGAAGAGGAGAGGAAACGUUAA
rnacentral:rRNA from 1 species